UUAUACAUCUAUUACGACGGUAUAGUCACGCCGUCGCUUGUAUAAUUAAAAUAAAUAAAUAAAAAAACAAGACAAUUCAAUUAAUCCUUCAUUCCUUCAGAUUAGAUCUAGACCAAAACUGAUUUUCUUUCAUGCCACUUCCUCCUCUCUCUCUCACGCUUUAUUCACCGAGCUCAAAACCCUAACCUAGCGAUCCCCGACCUCCAUUGAAGCGAGAGAUUUGGUGAGAAGGGGAGGAGAUCGAGCUUCAUUGAUGACAUGGUCGAGGAGGACGACGACGAUGAUGAAUACGGCCCCUAUCGUGGCAGUAGCGGCGGGAGUUGUAAGCGGAGCAAGAAGAGGCCUUCUGGUGGAUUUUUUUGAUUUCGCAGCGGUGGUCAAUUCAGAUGAGGAGGAUGAGGAGGAAGAUACUGUACCAAUAUUCAGAUGAACGAAGAGGUUGCGAUUAAGCUGAUGCAAUCCAUCCUGCUGAUGUUGGACUUAAAGAGGAAAAUCCAGAUGAUGAUCGAUGGCUUGGUUUUUUCAGAGACAGUCUAAAUAGAGUUUCUCGAUGGACUCAACCAAUAACAUACUUCAAUUUAUAUGAAGGUGAUAGUUUUACGAUGUGUAUAUUCUGUUUUCCUACUUCCUCAGUCAUUCCACUUCAUGAUCACCCUGGCAUGACUGUUUUUAGCAAAGUUCUGUAUGGUUCUUUGCAUGUGAGAGCUUACGAUUGGGUGGAGCCUUCCCACGAAAGCAAGGGAUCAAAUUACUUUCCAGUAAGAUUGGCACACUUGCAGACUUAAUACACAUUGUACUUACAUGGGUUGAAGAGAUUUUACAUUCCUCUUUCUCAUACUAUGAGUCUUUUGGUAUGUGUUACAGGAGAUGAGAUGACUCGAAUUUUCUGGAAAUCAAUCAAGGAUAAGCUUAUUCUCCCCUUUUUGGAUUUGGACAUUAAGUACUUUGACCUUGGUCUUCCUCACCGUGAUACCACUGAUGAUAAAGUUACCGUUGAAAGUGCAGAGGCCACUCUUAAGAGGAUUAGAAUGGGGCUGCUCCAGCUAGAAGUGUUAUGGUGUGGAUCCUAAUAUAAAUUUGAAAGUAUGCUUAGGCAGCAGCUGUGGUUGAUAGUCUGGCCAUCUUUUAGAAGUGAAGGUGCUGCAGUGCUGUUGUUUUGGCUUACUCUUGAUUGCUGCUUGGUUAUAGAUGAUGGGUUUCAUAUUGUAAUUUGAUAUUUUUCGGUUCAUAAUAAUUGCUAUAGAUGGUACUAGCUUUGGUGUGCAAUUCACACCAU